rnacentral:lncRNA from 1 species
GGGAGGUUUGAUGUUGCCACACUUCAAUUCGAGGGCCACAAUGGUAGUAGUGGUUAAUGAAGGAAAGGGAAACUUUGAACUUGUGGGUCUAAGAAAUGAGGAAGAAGAGAAAAGCAAACAAGUGCAGAGGUAUAGAGCUAACCUGUCUCCAGGUGAUGUCUUUGUCAUUCCAGCAGGUCAUCCAGUUGCUGUAAAUGCUUCCUCAAAUCUCUCUUUGCUUGGGUUUGGUAUCAAUGCUCAGAACAACCAGAGAAACUUCCUUGCAGGUAUGGAUAAUUAAAUUAAAUUAAAUGUACUAUAAAUGGACAUAAACUCAUCGGGCGAGAAAAGGCUCACUUAGGGUACAUUUUUUUGUUGAUUGAAAAUUUGAAGGUGAGGACGAUAAUGUGAUAAGCCAAAUAGAAAGGCCGGUGAAAGAGCUUGCAUUUCCUGGUUCUGCUCAAGAGGUUGAUAGACUAAUAAAGAAUCAAAGACAAUCUCACUUUGCAAAUGCUCAAUCACAAGGAAGCCAAAGAAGGAGUCCUCUAUCUUCAAUUUUGGACACUUUUUACUGAGUAAUCAAUCAACUGAAAUAAUAUGCAUGUAUGAUGUAAGAGUUAGUUAGCUCAUAGUGAGCACAGGAUGAAUAAGGAGGAUCUUGUAACUAUAACAACUUGAGUUCUGCUCUUAUGCUAUGAAUAAAUACAUUAAGAAUAAAUUGUGUCUUCUUAAUCAGCUCUGUUCUACUAUGUUCCUUUUUGUAGUGAAUAAUGCUCUAUGCUAGUUAUAUCAAAAGUGUUCAAAACAAUAACUUGAAAUAGUAAGAGUGGAGUUCAGUUAUAUUUAUAGUAAAUAAAAAAAUGAAUACAAAACAAAAUAAUAGAAUGUACCUUUUAAUUAAUGUUGCUCUAGUUAUAACUAUCGACAAAUAUCACCUGGUAUAGCCUAAGUGGUAAGUGUUGCAAAUUUCAGAGUAAGAAAUUUAAUUUUUAUUCAUAAAAAAACAAGAAGAAACACAUGACUAUAAUGACACAAUUCAAUAGAUUGUAUAAUACAGCCUAAAUAGAUAUACAAUUUAAUUAACAAAAAUGGACUUACCCAAAUGCAUAACAUUCUAGAAACUCUACGACUUUCAUAAUUCUGAAAUGAAAUUACCAUAUUUAUGUGUUUAAAAAAUCACUUUGUUACAUGUGUAGCUUGCUAUAAAAGUUAUUUCAAUAUAAUUUUAAUUACAACUUGCAUAAUUCUCAAAUUAUUAUUGUACAUUUAGCAUUUAUUAUAAUAAAAAUACAUUUUUUUUUCUAUUCGUAAUGAAUAUUGUGAGAUGGAGGCCUGUAGUCUUUUUUUUUGUUCUUUCAAUUAAGGUAUAGUUUUUUUUAUCUUUGAAUGAUUACUUCACAAAGAUUUAAUUUGUUUUAAUUGCUACAAAGACAUAUUUAUAUCAUAUUUUUUUCUUGAAAAAAGAGUAAAUAUUGUUAGAGAAUCAUUGUUGAGUUCAACAAUUCAAAAAUUAGAAAAAUAAAAUUUAAAAUAGUAAUGUGAAAAAUUAUUAUAAAAUUAAAUUAUAAUGUAAUUUUAUAUAGUGUAUCAUAAUUUUUUCAAUUUAGAAAGAACAAUACAAUUCAGACAAAGAAAAGUACAAUGUAAUUAAUGAAAGAAAAUUAUAAAAAAUAGAAUACAAACCGUAACAACAAAAUUCAUACGUGUAUGAUUGUUGUCGAAGUCUUAACCUACUUCGAAUUAAUUUGAAAACCUUUUGCUAUCUUUAAUAUCCUUACUCCAAUAUAAAACUAAUAAAGAAAUGUGCAUGAUUGUUGUCGAAGUCUUGACCUACUUUGGAUUAAUUUGAAAAUCUUUUGCUAUCUUUAAUAUCCUUACUCCAAUAUAAAACUAAGAAUCUUUAUUUUAGAACUUCAAAUGUCAAAUGUGGUCAAUAAAACUUAACCAUCAUAGAAUGAAAAUAGAAAAAGAAUAAAAAAUGAUACAUUUUUUUACUACCAUACAUAGAAACACAAAGAGAAAGCUAAUAAUGACUAACAAUAGAGAAAUUAUAGUGAAAUAUGGCAUUUAAAAAAAUGACUAAUGAAUAAUGAACAUGUUAAAGAACCGCAUCAUAAAUCACAAAUAUUUUUAAUUUUGAAUUUUUAAAUAUUAUAGUAUCAAGUUGAGAAAGGAUGAAAAAUAACAAAUUCAAAAUAGGUCAAGACUUCACCGAUAAUUAUGCAUGUAUGAAUUUUGUUGUUACAAUCCGUAAGAUUAGAUAUAGACAUUAAAUUACUAAAAAGUAAAUAAAAAUGCCAAUUUUUCUAUUAAUUAAACUUAGUUAUCGCAGUCAUUAAAAUAGGUCCCAAAAUAUAGCCACGAUUAAUUUUUGGUUAGCCACAUUUUUUUUUAUUGUGGUAAUGCCUUAUUAGCAACGUUUAUAUUUUUUAACCACAUUUAAAUCCUAGCUAUCUUAAUUUAAAAAAAUUCAAAAUUUGUCAAAACUUAUUUAUCAUAUAUUAAAACAUCCUCACAAAUCAUUCUAUUGUCAUCUAAUUAUAAAUUUUGAUAUAUAGUUUUAUUUUUAUCAAAUCAAUUAUAUGUUUAUAUGUCACUCUAAGUUUGCACUUGUAGACAAGUUUUAUUUAUAGCUCUACUGUAUACUUGCUCAUUCAUUCAAUAUUCAUUCUCCUUCAAUUUUAUAAUCAAUUCAUAUCAAUAAUUAUAAUACCACAUUUAUUUAGCGAUGACUCACCCAAAAUAUUUGUCCUUCCUCCUGCCCUAUUUUUCAUUUUUAAAUACUUUUGUUCUUUCUAAAUAUGGAAUAGUUCAUAGUUGAUUAUUAUUCUUCAACCCUUCUAUUUAUUAUUAUGUCUCAAAAGUUAGGAAAUGGUAUUGUGUGCACUCCUCUCUAGUGGUCUUCAUCAUCCUUUCAUCCACUGCAAUUACUAUCAUCAAUGAUUAGAACAUAUAUUAUUUUUCUUAUUAAAUAUUUGAUUUCUUAUUUGUUGAUUUCUUAUUUGAACAUAUUAAGUAUUGUGGCAUGGACAAGAUCAAUAUCAUAUAUACUAACCUCAGUUUUUUCCAUUUCGUUUUCUUUGCGAAUUUUAACCUGGUUUGUUUCUUUACAAUUUAAAUUGGCAAUACUUGAAGAGCUGAUAAACAAUAUUUAACAUGCUUUUGAAGGAUAGUGUUACUCUUCUCCCUUCUGUAUGCGUUUUAAAAGGAGAGCCGAUAAACUUGAAUGUGUUGUUUUAUGAAGUUGUGGCAACUUCUCUCAACUGCUCAUUGUCGUCGCUGUCGUCAUUCCAAACCAUAAAAGGAGUGAUAUAUCAUCUUGACAAUGAGGGUUUUCAAGAAGAGAAAAACAAAGAGAUUCAUUACAUCGCAUAUUUGAGGUUAGGAUUUCUGUUUAAUAAUUGGACUUCAAAAAUCAUGUUUCUCAUAGGAUUUCGAUAAAGACGUGAUUAGUUGAUUUUCAGUGCAGGAAAUUUGAAGAUUUUGAUGUGAUUAGUUGAUUUCUCAUAGAAUUACGUUAAAUUUUGUUUAGAAUGAUUUUAUUUUGCUUUAAAUUCAUAUGUUUGCUUCAAUUCCUUUUUCACUCUAGGACUCUUGUGAAUCUUAGUAUACUUUUGAUCUUUUUUUUUUUUUUUGUUAUUGUGAAUUUUAAGUCAUGGUAUUGGCACUACUAGCAAAACUGUUUUUAGCUGCUAUACUUAGCGUCGGCCAUGACUCUAACGCUAGUUAGCGUCGGUCAUGUGGACGCUAGUUCACGAAAUAUUUUUGUGUUUUCAUUAAAUAUUAGCGUCGGUUUGGCCGACGCUAAAUAAAACAUGGCAGACGGUUAUUUAUUUUUUAGUUUAAAUCAUCCAUCUAGCGUCGGACAGUCGGACGCUACAUUUUCUAAUUUGUAAAGUUAAUUAGUUUUUUCAGUAAAUUUAUUUUAUGUUUAGGGUUUGCUCCUACACUCUAAAAGUAUUUCAGUUUCCUCCUAAACUCUUAGCCCCAAAUUUGCUGAACUUUUCAUUUUCAUCUUCCCCAAAAUCUCAACCAACCUUCAAUCUCCAUCUCAGUUUUAUUUCCCCCAAUUGGCAUUCCAUCUCAGGUUCCUUAAAAUCGCGCCUUCAUUCAUCUAGAUGCGAAAAAACUCCAAAAUUACUCAUCUUGCGAAAAACCCCAGAUCCCUAAAAUCACUUGAAGCCUUACGUGAUCAAAAAACUUGAAUUUGAAAUCAAAUCCUUGCAUAUUGCUUUGCACCUUGCUGCCGAACGAGGAGGAGGAAGGAGGUGCCGUGUAACGUCGGUGGCGAAGAGUCUCCGGUGAAAACGAGGAGGUGGAGGAGGCGCGCUUCACAUGGACGACACAAUUCCUGGAAGCUCCGACGAGUUCCUGAAACGUGUUUCCUCCCGUGCUUAUGACAUGCGCAGGAAUCUUCAUCAGUCUUUUGAUUCUAGUAGCUACGACGGUAUCUCAUCUUUCGUUUCAAUUUUUGUUACUUGUGAUUCUGAAAGAUUAAUCGAAUUUGAAUUGUCUAUCAAUUUUUCAUAAGUUAAUGCUUACAAUUUGAAUUUAAGCAUAAAAGUUAGUUGAAGUUUCUGCAAUUGUCAUAUGAUUUGAAUUUUCCAUAUGCAAUUUUUUUUUCUUCUGCAAUUGUCAAUUGUUACAUUUUUCUCUAAGUUUUUUGUCUGGGUGUUUGAAUGCAUAUUAGUUUAUUGGCUUGUCUAUUUAUGUUAGGAAUAAUAUAUCGGUUAGGAAUUCCGUGAACAAGCCUUAAUCUCAUCCUAAUCUAUAAAUAUUAAAGUUGGGAGCCACAAGCUAAGUGAUUCUUUUCGCAUUACUAUUUCUAUUGAAAUCCACAUGAAAAUGCAGGAAAUUUUUUCUCUACUUCAAGAGAACGAAACUUUGCUGAAAUUGAAUAAGAAGCUGAAUCAAGAAAAGGAAACCUUGUUGAAGAACAAGGAUUUGACAGAUACUCAAAUUGGAAAGUUAACUAAAUCCUUGGAGGCAAUGCAGAAAGAUAUCAGAGACAAAGAGAAUCAGGUAGUUCAUUUUUAGUAUAAAUGAUUCUAUCAAACAACAUUUGUAUUUAUGAAAGUUGUGAUAUACCAAUUUUAACUUUCAGGUGCUAGUUUUAAAACAGUCCUUGGAACACCAAAGAAAAGAGCUCAAUGAUUGCAGAGCUGAGAUCACUUCACUGAAAAUGCAUAUUGAAGGGUCUCUCUCAGGAAAUAAUCUGUCUAUCAGGGAAGUUACUAAUGUUCAAUCUCAAUCUAUAGAGAAAUAUGAGGAAGAAAUUAAGAAAUUGAAGGUGGAAAUUGAAUUGCUGAAGGAAAAGAAUGUCAGAGCUCCUGAACUUGGAAGUUUUGUUGGUUUUGCAAUGGAAAAUUUAGAGAGAUGAUAAAGUGAUCGAGAUUCACGAAGACCGAGGUACAAUUUCAAAUCCUAUUGAUGUGGCGGUUGGUGUUGUAAGCAAUCAAGAUGCUUAAUCAUCAGUUGUCCAACCUCUGAAUAGAAUGCAAAUAACCAUGAAGAUACAUUGCCUAGAUUAUUUAAUCCUGCAAAUACAAAUAGUGCUUCGGAAAAUAUUUCUGAUUUGCAUUAUCUGUUAUGUAGCACUUUUGAAAAAUAUAAAGAUGAAAAAUCUCUCCCCUUUGCAUGGAAAAAAAAUAUGAAUAGUCAAGAUGGUUAAAUGUUAGCUGAAUAUAUGUGUCAUUGUCCAUGUCAAAUUUAACUGUGAUAUUUUGUUCUUAUGUAUGUUUAUAUUUUGACAGGGAUUAGGAACAAUUCAGAUACUUGCAGAUGCUUUGUCUAAAAUUGUUCCUUAUGUCUUGAUCAACCACGUGAGGUUUGCUUUUCUAUAAAUAGUUGAAUAAAUAGUUGAUUCAAUGAAGUUUGAUUUUAGUGUUUUAUUAUUUGGAUGUUUAGAUUCUUCACUAGUUGCAUCUAUCUCUGUUUGAUACAUGGCUGACACAAAUGUGUUUUAAUCUCUGUAAGCGUAGUAGUUUUUGUUCACUCUACCUCAAAUAUUGAUUAACUUGGCCAAUUUGAAAACAUGUUGCAGAUUAGCAUUGGCUUUUCAGGAUAAACAUGCUAUUUGGAAUGCAUAUACACUCUUUUUAUGUCUCACCAGGUAUAUAUAAUAUCAUUUACCUAUUUAACUUCACAAAAUAUGUUAUUUCGACACAAACACCAUAGUUAUAAAAAUCGUAUAAUAAAGAAGUGAAAGUGUUAUAGUCAAAUUUGUGUGUCAAAUUGUAUAACUAGAUAUUUUAGAAGCCUUAAUUGUGUCAAAUUUGAUGCUCUUCCUAAUCUGGAACAGUAAGUUGUAGCACUAGUUGUAUAAGACUAUUCAACUAUGAAUGAUAUUCCCAUUAAUUGAUCUAUUCAUUUUAUAAUUCAUUUAGUUAAUUAAGUUUAAAAAUGAGUUUGAUCUCCAUUUUGUUUAUAAUAAUUAAAUUAAAUGUUGGUUCUAAACGUUAGGUUCAUUUACUGCUCUUCUGCUGGUGUCUAUCUCAAAUCUGAUAUAUUACCUCAUGUUGAGGUUAGAUUACAUUUUUACUUUUCAAUAUUAUGGGUCUUGCCACGAUGCACUGAGACUUCUAAUCAUCCAUAUUCUUUUGUUUUACUAGAAAAUAUGUUCUAACCAUCCAUAUUAUUUUGUUAUACACAAAGUUGUUGUUGUUUAGAUAGUUAUUAUAUACACAUGUUGGUAGAUUGAUGCAGUUGACCCUAAGAGCAGACACAAGGGAAAGCUUGAAACAUAAAGCUUAUUGCAAUCAAAGGAUGUUCUUUGUUGUUUAGCUUGCAAUUGUUGAAGGUAGCGUCGGCCCGACCGACGCUGUAUUAUAAAUGUAUUAGUUGAUUGUAGCGUCGGUCUACCCAAGGCCGACGCACAAGAUUUUUUAAACUAACGUCGAAUGUUUUAUUUUGCUGGUAGCGUCGGCUUAGAGUGCGUUGGAUGGUAAUUGACCGAUGCUAUAAAUUAGCUUUGCCUGUUUUAGCCUAGGCCCGACACCGACGCUAGUCAGACGUUAAAUCAACGUUAGCGUCGACUUUUGGCUACGUUAAUAUCAGUUUUUCUAGUAGUGUAGGAAUCUAUUUUCUUUUGGUUAAGGGAACAAGCUUUUGUUGUUAUUGAUUAAUUAGAAGUAUCUAAUUAAUCACAUAAUCCUACUAUAUAAUAUAAUUGAAUUAAAUAUAGAGAAUCCUAUUGCAUCCUAAUGUAAUUAAGCAAUCAUCUAAAACUUAACUACUUUCAUUCAUUGGUUAUUGUAUAGUUUUUUGGAUCAUAAAAAAAUUGUUAGUUUAUAUGUUAUACGGAGGAUUUUUGUGAAAUAUUCUAACAUACUUGCUAAUAUGUGUCCAUUGCAUCAGUUGUUGCUUGCAAAUUAGCCAUGCUUCAUAAUUUUGUAUGUCAAACUAAGUAAAUAUUCACUACUUUCAUUUAUGUAUCAUAAAUUUUUUAAAAUCAAAUAGUUGAAUUUAACUUCAAAUAUGAAAGGGGAUAAUAUAAAAAUUAUUAUACUUUGACUUGGAUUUAUGUCUUAAGAAAGUAGGAUAUCACUUGUUACAUAUGUGAUAUGUUUCUUUGUUUUUUAUGAGAGCACAUGUGAAAUUUUAUAUAUUGAAUGAUUGUUCUUAUGUUCUUUUGUUGCACAAAUGAUAUUAUGAUCGGGUGGCUCUCAUUGGUUGAUAUUAUGAUUGGGUGGCUCUCAUUAAUUGUCCACUUUUUAUUAGUUAAAAGUAACGUCGGUGAAGCCGACGCUACUAAUUUUGUUGAUUUUGAUUUUAGCGUCGGCCGCUGCGACGCAAAGGAAUUUUUCAGAUGAUAUAUAAUUUAGCAUCGAGUGUUCUAUUUUGCUAGUAGCAUCGGCUUUGAGUAGAUCAAGCCGACGCUAUAGUAGCGUCGGCUUCGAGUAGAUCUAACCGACGCUAUAGUAGCGUCAGAUGGUAUUUGGCUGACGCCACAUAUUAGCUUCGAUCGUUUUAGUCUAGUUCCGACACCGACGCUAAGUGGACGCUAAAUCAGAGUUAGCGUCUGCUUUUAGCCUAUUAGCAUGGGCUUUUGACCGACGCUAAAAUCAGAUUUUCUAGUGGUAUUAUCUAGAUUUCUUUUCUUUUCUCUUUAUCUAGAUUAAAACAUUUAUUGUUACAUGGAGAUUAGGAAUUUGGUGUUUUUAGUUCUAAUAUAUUAUCUAUAACAUAAUUAAAAAUAUAAUCGUCCAAUCUUCAAUUUACGUCUAAGAAUUACACUAAGCUAGUAAAAAAGAUUGACCUCAUUUAAUUCAUUAUAUAAACUACUUUUUUCAAUUUAAUAGAUCGGUAAUAUUUUGUAUUUUAUAAAUUUCAUUGAAUUAAUUGAAUAUUUAUAAAGUUUUUUUUUUUACCUUCUUUAUUUUUCUCGAUAUUAUAGUUUUGAAUUUGAAGAACUAAAGAUAAUGUCAUUAGUUGUAAGAUUUGAAUUUGUUUAAGUUUAUUGUACAAAAAUAUUUCUAACUUCUUUUAAAUACUAAUUUACACUAAAAUGGUUAAUUGUAUACUAAAGUGUAAUCAAAUUCUUUUAAAUAUCAUUAAACACUAAAAUAAUUAAUUUGUAUGUGGUAUAAUUCAUACAAAAUGAUAAAUAUUUUAUUUUUACUAACAAUGGUCUUAUAUUAAUAUUAUAUCAUAUUAAAAUACAUUCUUUUAAAAUUGAAUAUUGUUACUACCUUAUUAUGUGUCAAUUACUUGAUUUUCCAAGAGUAUAUUUGUAGGAAGGAAUUGAAACUUCUAGAGGAUUAAAAGUUUUAAGCAAUUCAAAAUGUUUCAAUUGCAUUUUCUUCAUUAAUAAAUUGUGUUGUUUGGAUAGAACCAUUGUUUAUUUAAAUUUUGUCAUAUUUAUAAAUUUAAAAAGUGUUUGGGCAAAAAUAAAAAUUGAAAAAGGUAAUUUUUUUUGAAAUUUUGUAGGGAUAUAUUUGAGAUUCACAUUGUAUGAAGUUAAAAAGAAAUUUCAAAUUCUUACCUUUAAGAUAGUAUUUUAAAUUCUUUCAAUUUGUUUUUGAUAAAAUCUUUUUAUUUUAAAAAUUCAUCGAAUUUAUCAUCCAAAAAUAACAUUUAUAUAAAAGAAUUUGAAUUACGAUACAAAACACACUCUAAAAUUAUUUUUUAUAUACUUAAUUUCAAAUAUUUUGUAAAAAUAAUUUGUAAAGUUAUAUGUUUACGGCUGAUUCUUGUUAAAUGACAAUUCUUUUUUGUUAAAAAAAAGGUGUGUGCCUCAACUAAAUGAAAGCACCUUCGUAAUAUUUUGCAAUUAGUUUCACCCGUGAUAGCAAAGUAUUUCAUUAUGCGCGUUUACGUCUAUAUUUCUACAUUCUAUUUGAAUUCAGGAAGUUCCAAAGUCCUAUGUAGGUUUGGUAUGAUGCAUCUUGUCUUCACGAACAUUAAUGGGACAACCAUGCGCAUUAAGAAAAUUGUAUGCAAUAUCUGCACCCUUCAUGGAUGAAUCAUUAAUGGGACAACCACAUGAAGAAAAUAAAUUAUGUAAAAUGUGUUGUUUCUUCGAAUCAACUAUGGUAUCGAGGCUAUUCUGGAUAUCGAAGGGACAUAAUGAAAGAGAGAGUAGUGGCUUCGAAAUGCGUCGAACAGAGGAGGAAUAAAUAAGAUUGACCUAAGGCACAUAGAAGCCUAAGGCGAAUUAAAAUAUGAAACCUUUUAAAACUUAUAAUAGUAUUUUAGUAAAAUUAAUUAAAAAUAUUAUGAAAAACUAUUUGUAGGACAUUUUAAAAUUAAAAAAAAAAACAUUUAUUGAAUUAAUAUAAUGUACUACAUUACCGAAGCCCUAGUCAAAAUUUUCUGCUUAAAAUCUAUAUCCCAGACAGAUUUUUCUGCUGUUGGUGCAUGUUGGGCCAUUCCUAAAUUAUGAGAUGUUCAUCCUACACUUUGUUAAGGACAUAAGUCAAACAUACGAAACCAAACUCUACAUAGAAGAGUGGAUAAGUUUGAGAGAGAAAGUCUUGAGUUCCUCUGAAAAUUUCAGAGUGGUCAAAUUAGAAAAAUACAAAUAUGGUAGAUGUAAUUUUUGAAACUUCAUGGGGUGCAAGUGCACACUCUCUCACCGCUAUCUAGGCCUGCCCUAAAGUUAACACAUUUUGAUGUUUCUGCUUUACACAGUUACUUUUGUUAAUUCAAUUGGUUUUUGAUUGUAUCUAUAUUGUUAGAUCUAUACUAAUCUAAUCAUUUAUCUUAUAUUUUGUAAUAACUAUGUUAGUUUCUGUGUGUAAUUUGUAAGUGGACUUGUGCAAUUGUAGAUGAUUUUGUCUUUAGUUUGAAUAAGAUGUAGGAGAAAAGGGAUAGUACAAAUGAGUCUUCAAGUAUCUUCUUUUUUUAACACAACAGUCAUUUAUCUAGUGACUUCAAUUCAAGUAGUUCAAGGCAGUGGAAAUUAGCCAUGCCAAAUAUAAGCAUUUUUAAAAAUGACAUUAUUGAUCCCAAAAAAAAGACAUUAUUAUGAUCAAAAACACUGAAAUUCAUUAUUCUAGAGUGUAAAAUAUGAAGUUGUUGGCCAAAUAAAAUGAGAUGAUUUCAAGGAACGUAAAACUCACUAAGUGCAGCCUAAUGUUGGAUGUAACAAAACUUCUGCAACUUUACAUAUAACUUAGAAAACAUGGCAAUCUUUAAGCCUAAUGGGAAUGUUCAAAUUAAGUAUUGCUUAUAAAAUCUGAAGAAAUACAGAGGAUGUAUCAAAUCCGGAUGCAGAGAAAAUAUGAUAUCGUAUAAGCUCAAAGCAAGUUAUCAUAAUAAGAUUGAAUUGAAUUGUAUCAAAAACAAGAAACGAAUCGUCUAAAAACAUCGUUGUGUCGAAUGUCAAGUAUUUAUUGUUGUAGUCAGAAAUCAUCGAAAACUAUUCUCUUAUGUUUUUGUUUCACAUAGAAAGUUUACAGAUGUCAUUAAUGACUUAACAAUACAAUUCAAUACACAUCAUCAAUUUCUAUGCAAUUUAAUACAUAUUGUGGUUUAUGGACUAAACUGUUGCGGUUUAUUUCUUUUUCAUAAACUAAAAAUGAUCUUUUUUCGUCAGAUAUUAAUAUGUCUCAUACUCCAAAAGUAUCAUUUCAAAAAUAAUGUCUAGGUUCAUCAAUUUCAUGAUAUUCAAACAAAACUUGACUACUAGUUCAAGAGAUCAAGAUCGCCGCAUCCAUAUGCAUCCAAAAUGUUGGGACCCCAAAGACCAUGCGGUACAACACGUACAUAGCAGUCUUAUUUUUUUCUUUUGCCACCUCAAUUUUGUUCAUUUCAACAUUCGUCAAUUUGCAUGGCACCCUGUGGCCAAAUGUAUAUGUACAUUACUCAUAUAGCUUUUAUGUUCUAUAACUAUAAAUAUCCCUCAUCUCAUUCCAUAACUCAUCCUAAAAAUUGAGCUAGUGAACUACAAGUGAUGGCUACCACAACCAAAACACGAUUUCCACUUUUGUUAUUGCUUGGAAUUAUAUUCCUAGCCUCAGUUUGUGUCUCUUAUGGCAUUGUCCAAUAUGAACAGGGGAACCCCUGUCUUAAGAAGUGCAUGCAGCGAUACAACAAAGUGAAUGAAGCAUUUAAACGCCGUGAGGAGGAAGAAUAUGAAGAACGUUCAGAACAUAGUGUACCUGGACAAAGAGAACGAGGUCGCCAAGAGGGUGAGAAGGAGGAAGAGCAUCGGGAACAACGGAGAUCUCGACGUGAAAGUGAAAGGGAAAGGGAAGAAGAUGAGCAAAAACAGCGUCAUCCUCACCAUGAAAGAGAGGAAGAGGAGGACGAAGAGUUUAGAGAACGGCGUCAUCGUGGAGAUACAGAAGAGACGAGGUUCAGGCGAAGAAAGGAGAGGAGGCAAGAGCAACAAGAAAAAAAGAGUGAGAGUAAAGAAGAUGAAGAAGAAAGUUCUUCAGAGUCACAAGGACGGAGGAACCCCUUUUUCUUUAGGUCUAACAAAUUCCAAACUAUAUUCGAGAACCAACACGGUCACAUUCGUCUUCUUCAAAAUUUCGACAAACGUUCUAACUUAUUUCAAAAUCUUCAAAACUACCGCUUUUUGGAGUAUAAGGCCAGACCUCACACACUUCUACUCCCCCAACACAUAGAUGCUGACUUCAUCCUUGUAGUUCUUAGCGGUAAUUAUACUAUAAAAAAAUCAACUAGUAGAAGUGUAAUUUUUCUUUCAUUUUACAUAAAACAAUCAAAUUGUUGAUUACUGAAUAUUGCAGGGAAAGCCAUACUUACUGUGUUGAACCCCAACGACAGAAACUCGUUCAACCUUGAACGUGGCGAUACUAUCAAACUCCCUGCAGGCACCACUGCUUAUUUAGCUAACCAUGACGAUGAGGAGGAUCUGAGAGUAGUAGAACUCGCCAUACCUGUUAACAGACCUGGUAAAUUUCAGGUAAUAUAUAUAACUCUAACAUAACACUUUUUCCACUCUCUUCACCAUUACAAUUUCCACCACUCACUAAUGUUAUUUCCUGCAGUCUUUCUUCCCAUCUAGCAAUCAAAACCAACAAUCCUACUUCAAUGGGUUCAGCAAGAGUAUUCUAGAGGCAUCCUUCAAUGUAAGCAUCCUAGCAACAUGUGUGUGUAAAUUGUCGUUAAUUAUUUUAUAUGUAAUAGUUGUAAUUUGUGUCCUUGUUUAUAUGGUUGAAAAAAUAGACAAAAUAUGAGACCAUAGAGAGGGUUCUCUUAGAAGAGCAAGAGCCAGAACAAAGCAGAGGACGUAGGGGAAGUGAAGAAAGCGAAGAAGGAGAUGCAAUUGUUAAAGUGUCAAGGGAACAAAUUGAGGAACUAAGUAAACAUGCCAAAUCAAGCUCAAGGAAAAGCAUAUCCUCAGAAUCGGAACCAUUUAACUUGAGAAGUCGAAACCCCAUUUAUUCCAACAAAUUUGGCAAAUUCUUUGAGAUUACUCCAGAGAAAAGCCCACAACUUCAAGACUUGAAUAUAUUUGUCAGUUGCGUGGAGAUUAAUGAGGUACUCAAACAAACAUAUUAACACAACUAAAUUGGACAAUAAAUUUUAUUUGUCCACAUUCUUCUUAAUUAGAUUAUUACCAAAAAUAUGUUAUUAAACUUUUGUCCAAAAUUUUAGGGAGGUUUGAUGUUGCCACACUUCAAUUCAAGGGCCAUAGUUGUUCUAUUUAUUAAUGAAGGAAAAGGACACCUUGAACUUGUUGGUCUAAGAAAUGAGCAACAAGAACAACAACAAGAGGAAGACGAGGAGCAAGAAGAAGAAGAGAGAAACAACCAAGUGCAGAGGUUUAGAGCCAGGUUGUCUCCAGGUGAUGUUUUCAUCAUUCCAGCAGGUCAUCCAGUUGCUGUAAAUGCUUCCUCAGAUCUCAACUUUGUAGGGUUUGGUAUCAAUGCUGAGAACAAUCAGAGAAACUUCCUUGCAGGU